rnacentral:rRNA from 1 species
CAGCAGCCGCGGGAAUACGUAGGGCGCAAGCGUUGUCCGGAAUUAUUGGGCGUAAAGAGCUCGUAGGCGGUCUGUCGCGUCUGGUGUGAAAUCCCGAGGCUCAACCUCGGGCUUGCAUCGGGUACGGGCAGACUAGAGUGCGGUAGGGGAGACUGGAAUUCCUGGUGUAGCGGUGGAAUGCGCAGAUAUCAGGAGGAACACCGAUGGCGAAGGCAGGUCUCUGGGCCGCAACUGACGCUGAGGAGCGAAAGCAUGGGGAGCGAACAGGAUUAGAGACCCCCGUAGUCCCUGUCUCUUAUAC